rnacentral:tRNA from 1 species
UCCCUUGUAGCUCAGUUGGUAAAGAAUCUGCCUGCAGUGCAGGAAACCCGGGUUCGAUCCCUGGGUUGGGAA